UGCGCUUGAACGGCACGUUCUCAAAGCCGUUGUCGUACGAGCUAGUGCCGAGGACAGCGGCGACGGAAGAAGAAUGUGGCGAAGAUUGGAGUUCUUCAAAGACAUUCAGGAGAUUCGUACGGUGAUUAUUCCAGCGAAGGCGGUAUUGUUGAGACGAGGUAGUUUCCAUGAUGAGGUCCAAAAUUUAGUGACGAUUUGUCGCAAGAAUCUACAACCCAAGCAAAUAAUGCAACCGCGUUAUUAUAUAAAUAAAUACAUUUUAUUCAAUUUCUGAUGUAUAUGUAUCUUAUAAUCCUAAUAAUAAAUCUAAUAAUUUAUUAUUGUGAUUAUUUAUCAUAAUAUGUAUAAAGAUAACAAUAAUUCUAUUAAUCCCAUUAGUUAACAAAUUAGUAACACGUAUCAUUAAAUAGAGAUUAAAAUUUUG